AACGAACGCUGGCGGCGCGUCUUAAGCAUGCAAGUCGAACGGUAACACGGGGCAACCUGGUGACGAGUGGCGAACGGGUGAGUAACACGUAGGUGAUCUGCCUUUGGGUUGGGGAUAGCUUGUGGAAACACAGGGUAAUACCGAAUGAGGUUGCUUGACUUUGGUUGAGCAAUGAAAGGGGCUUCGGCCUCGCCUGAAGAUGAGCCUGCGGCUGAUUAGCUAGUUGGUGAGGUAAGAGCUCACCAAGGCGACGAUCAGUAGCCGGCCUGAGAGGGUGGUCGGCCACACUGGGACUGAGAUACGGCCCAGACUCCUACGGGAGGCAGCAGCUAAGAAUCUUCCGCAAUGGACGGAAAGUCUGACGGAGCGACGCCGCGUGGGUGAUGAAGGCGGAAACGUUGUAAAGCCCUUUUAUGGACGAGGAAUAAGGCUGGGAGGGAAUGCCCGGCUGAUGACGGUAGUCCAUGAAUAAGCCCUGGCUAAUUACGUGCCAGCAGCCGCGGUAAU
rnacentral:rRNA from 1 species